rnacentral:tRNA from 1 species
AGAAAGGUAGUUUAUCUAAGAACGUCGGUUUCAUAAUCCGAAAGUGGCAGUAGCUCUUUUCUA